GUCAGGAUGGCCGAGCGGUCUAAGGCGCUAUGUUCAGGUCGCAGUCACCCCUGGAGGUGUGGGUUUGAAUCCCACUUCUGACA